UCCUGUGUCCCUUGGUGUUUUGUUUUGCUUUGCUUUGCUUCUGUGGUCAGAACGUUUACAGGAGGUCUACCCUCUUAACCAAAUUGUAAGUGUAUGAAAUGGCAUCGUUAGCUAUAGGCACCUCAGCCUUCUCUUACUAAACAUUCUGGCUCCCACCAGAAUCUUGUGGGAUGACCUAGCUGAGGAACUAGGCAACCACAUGUGAUGUCCGUCUCCUAAAUUCUAAACUCCCGCGACUUCAGGGGUUGGAGCCAGUCUGCCUCGUGGACUGUCACAGUGAGUUCACUCUUGCCAGCUUCUAUGUCAGAGGGACGGGUUACUUGACCUGAUCCCACUCCCAGGAUACACCCUUCUGGGAGCCAGUGGCCCUCUGCCCACCUCCUUCAGUUCUCACUUCCUUAAAAAGCCUUGCCAGAUUUCGUCCCCACGCUGAUGCCCUCACUGGCUCCAGAGUCCACCCCGCCUUCACCUCAACCAGGCUGCCAGGGUUGGAAUGGUGUCUCCUUGCUCCUUCUUGGAUUUCGCACCUCUCAUCUGGCGGUGACAGGGUCUCCAGGGCCGUGUGACUCACCAGCAACUGGCGUUGUCAGCCUGGCUGUCAUGUGACGCUGUGGGACCCCAGAGGGUGGGCGGGCAGCGCGGGUCAGGAGGGCUUGCUCGCAGCACGCUCGGGGGCCUCCCUCCCCACUCUUUGCUGUCCUGUGCUGUUGUCUUGGUGCCCAGGAAGCCUGUGGGGGAAAGAGAGUCUGGCCCCUCUUCCUGUCAGCGAUGACUUUCUGCUUGGAGCUGACCCUCCGGGAUGCACCCAGAGUCUAAACCCCAUUUCCAUUCUCACAUCACCCAUCCAUCCGUUCAAAAAAUAUGUCUGGAGCAACUUCUACUAGAGUGCCAAGCCCUACGCGAAGAGCUGAGGUUUCAACCACCUGCAAGCUAGACAGGUUUUUUGCCAUAUGGGAUCUUAGCUCCCUGACCAGAAAUUCAACCCACACCCACUGCGCUGGAAGGCAAAGUCUCAACCACUGGACAGCCAGGGAAGUCCCAAGCACAGUGGUUUUGCUCGAAGAGGAGAUGCUGCUGAUUUCUUGAGUGUGAGUAGGAAUUAGAUCCCUCGAAGGCAGACACUGGCUCCUCUUUCUGGCUUCUACCUCCCCACCCCUCCCAGGCUCCUAGCACCACACGGGGCUCAUGGGAAAGCUGACUGACUGGCUGAGUGGAGAACAGCAAGGGUUAAUUAAUCCUCGAAGGAAGACCUCCUACCUCGAAGGAAGAGUCCUACCGCCUGUUCCCCGAGGGCCCACAAACCUCUCCUGGCACCUUCUGCAGCUCCGUGAUUCUUGUACCUCAUCUUGCCGCCUGGCGCUGCCGGUUCCGCCUGUCCUGUCCCCUUUGGCCUCUCUGGGGAGACGUCGCUGGCUUUGAGUUCUGAAUAUUUCAGCUGGUUUCUGUGAUCAGGGCCUGCUCCGAGGCCAAUCCAAUGAAUUCAGCCACCUCCCUGUUUUACAAGUCCCUGUUCCUCCAAUCAUCUCCUCUGCCUUCCUGCACAAAUUUUUGCUCUUUUCCUUCCGAGUGGGGAAUAAGCCUGACAUCCUGAGCCUGGUUCUUCUCCAGGCCCCCGUACAUCCCCUCCCUCAUUGAGCAAGGACUUGCUGGGCCCUGACUCUGGGCCUGGGUCGGGGAGUGACCUAGGCAGCGGUCUGGAAGCAGGGAAGACUC